AAAUUGAAGAGUUUGAUCAUGGCUCAGAUUGAACGCUGGCGGCAGGCCUAACACAUGCAAGUCGAACGGUAGCACAGAGAGCUUGCUCUCGGGUGACGAGUGGCGGACGGGUGAGUAAUGUCUGGGAAACUGCCUGAUGGAGGGGGAUAACUACUGGAAACGGUAGCUAAUACCGCAUAACGUCGCAAGACCAAAGAGGGGGACCUUCGGGCCUCUUGCCAUCAGAUGUGCCCAGAUGGGAUUAGCUUGUUGGUGAGGUAACGGCUCACCAAGGCGACGAUCCCUAGCUGGUCUGAGAGGAUGACCAGCCACACUGGAACUGAGACACGGUCCAGACUCCUACGGGAGGCAGCAGUGGGGAAUAUUGCACAAUGGGCGCAAGCCUGAUGCAGCCAUGCCGCGUGUAUGAAGAAGGCCUUCGGGUUGUAAAGUACUUUCAGCGGGGAGGAAGGUGUUGUGGUUAAUAACCGCAGCAAUUGACGUUACCC
rnacentral:rRNA from 1 species